UGCAUCGGCCGGGAAUCGAACCCGGACCACCCGCGUGGCAGGCGAGCAUUUUACCACUGAACCAUCCAUCGAUGC
rnacentral:tRNA from 1 species